rnacentral:rRNA from 1 species
UACGUAGGUGGCAAGCGUUGUCCGGAUUUACUGGGCGUAAAGAGCGCGCAGGCGGUCGUGCAAGUCGCGUGUGAAAGCCCCCGGCUCAACUGGGGAGGGUCACGCGAUACUGCUCGACUCGAAGGCAGGAGAGGGAAGUGGAAUUCCCGGUGUAGUGGUGAAAUGCGUAGAGACCCGGAGGAACACCAGUGGCGAAGGCGGCUUCCUGGUCUGCGACUGACGCUGUGGCGCGAAAGCUAGGGGAGCAAACGGG